rnacentral:lncRNA from 1 species
UGAGCCCUGAGCUUGAUAACCUGAGCCAACAGUGUGGAGAAUGCAGCGUUCCUUGUGGACAACAAGCACACGUGUGACCAACGUGUAGAAGCGUCAACCAAAACCAUAAAAUAUCUAAAUGGUCCGCAUGGAGGUUGAAUCGGUCCACAAAUGUCCCCCUGAAUCCGUUGUAGAAAAAUGGGAGGAUUCGAACAAAUCUUGUCAUAAGAAGGCUUAGUAAUAAGCUUUCCCAUAGAACAUGUUUGACAUGC